rnacentral:rRNA from 1 species
UGCAACCCGACUCCAUGAAGCUGGAUUCGCUAGUAAUCGCGCAUCAGCCACGGCGCGGUGAAUACGUUCCCGGGCCUUGUACACACCGCCCGUCAAGCCAUGGGAGCCGGGGGUGCCUGAAGGCCGUGACCGCGAGGAGCGGCCUAGGGUAAAACUGGUGACUGGGGCUAAGUCGUAACAAGGUAGC